rnacentral:lncRNA from 1 species
UGUUUAGCUGGAAAUUAAAGGCUGAUUUUCGUGAGAAAGAAGCAGCAAGUUGCAGCCUUCCGAGUGAAUUUAAUGAAUGAAGCGUUAUGUGAUCAUAAGGAAAUGGAUCGGUUGAAUCAAGGGAUAUGGAAACGAUGAAAGGCUGAUUGAUUUAGUUAUCUUCUUGAAUUGUUGAAAAAAGAAAAGAAAAGAGAAAUAAGAGAAUUGAUGACUUCCAGACGAUUAACUAGUCUAAGAAAAUUAGCUCCACCAUCCAAAUUAAUCCCUCCCGUCCUUAAAACAUUACCUUGGCCCCAUUACAACCUUAAUUUGGCCUCAAUUAUAUUUAUGAAAUUUUAUGUAUUAUGUUAAGGUAAGAUGGACAAGCAAGCCUAUGGGGUUAAUUACGGUUUAUUUCAAUUUGAGAGCGUUGUACUAGCCUAAACACAAUGAGUGAAGAGUGUUAAUAAUUUUAUUCUUUUCGGUGAGAAUUGAUCAAAGAAGCAUGAUUAUUUUCCUCUAUAUUUUCCUCUCUUGAAUAAACCAAAAUCUAAAUUGUUGAUUUCAAAAUUCAUCCUAAGCUUGGGCUAUGCAACAACUCUUGAUUAUUCUUGAUAUUUUUAAAAUUCUUCUUGAUUUUCGUCGACUUGAUUGCUCAGGGACGAUCAAUAGUUUAAGUAUAGGGGAGUUUGUUAAGUUCAAUUUUGAGUUUAACUUAUUCAAUUAAAUUAUUUAAAUUGUUGAUUACUUUUUUGGUUAAUUAAGUUAUAAUUCAGCCUAAAUUGAUUAGAGGCAUUCUAUGCCGUAAUAAUUUAAUUGCACUCCAAUUCAACAAUUUAAUUUUAAUUUUAUUUCAUGUGCAGGUUGAUGCCCGUAUAAGCUCAAUUUGGAAGGUAAUUCGCAUAAAUUAAGCUGCCGAAUGACGAUCAUAUGCUGGUUGAAGGAAUUAAAUUAACAUUGGGACAAAAUUCGGUCCAAUAGAAAAGC